GUCAGAGAGAAUAGAUGGGAAAAGGAAAGGGAGAGAGGAAGGAAGUAAAGAGGGGAAGAGAUGUUGAGAGAGGGAAAGAAAGAAAAAAAAGGAAAGAUAAUAAAAAGAAACUUAAGUAGGAACCCUGGGAAUCAAAGGUGGCAGGAGAUGGAUUAUGAUCCAGCAAAGGAAACUAAGGCAUGGUCACAAAGGUGGGAGGAGAAUCAGGAGAAAGCUAUGUCAUAAAAGCUGAGGGAGGAGAAAAUGUCCAAGGGUGAUCAUUGGUAUACAAAACUGCAGAGAGGAAGGACCAGGCUGAGAAAAGGUGAUCAGAUUAAGUGACAAGAAAUUGUAAGAAACCUUGGAAAUAAAAGUGCCAGUUGUGAGUUCAGACACCAGAUCACAAGGUUGUAGAGGACACAGACCCUUGAAGUCUUAGGGGUUUUGUUCCAGAGAGAAUGGGAAAUUUGUACAUCACUAGGGAAGGAGAAACCUUGACCUUGAUGGGAUAGUUAAAGAAGCAACACACUGGGCUAACCCCUCUCCCACCUUGGUGGCAGGACAGCUGAUGACUUUCACCUGCAACUACUUGGGAUUCUACAUUCAACAAGUCACAAUUAAAUGGCUGGAAGAUGGGAAGGAGUCACAUUUCCAUCACGAAUCAUUUACCAGCAGCAGAACUAGCAAUACUUUCUACAAUAUCACCAAAAUGGUACAAAUACCAUCCACCUGGUCCAAUGUCCAGGCUCAUGUGAUCUGUAUGGUAAAGUCCAUACCACCCACAUGGCCCUUGACCUUGAAUCCUCCAAAGGAUGAAAUGAACUAUUCCCUAUCAAAUACAGGUACACUCACCACAGCUGCCCCAGCAUCUUUCCCAGAUAAGGAAGCUCAACCAUCCAUCCUCCUCUUGGCUGUAAUCCUUCUGGGGUGGAAGAUCCUGUUUCUGGUGUUCCUCUCUGCCUGUUGCAUCUUCAAGAGAAGUUUGGUGUGACUGGUGAGAAGGGGAAGGAACUUCUGGAAGGGAUGACUUUUGUGGUGAAAAAGGACAGAGGAUGACUGACUUCAACCUUGAAAUGUUGUCCACACACACACACACACACACCCUACUUCUGCCAUUGGGAGCAAAGAGAGUCUGGACGCAUCCUCCCUACCCAUCUAACCAAAGUGAAAUAAGCAAAUAAGUUACCGUGGGUAAUCUCUGACUUUAUAUAUAAUCCAUGAGUUAUCAUUUCCCUCACUUUCUCCUACUUAAUGUCUAAAUCAGCUUCAAGGAGCUAACAGUUUCUGGUUUCUCCAACCAGACUGACAUUCUUUUCAUCAAGAUAAAUCAAAACUUAUUACCUAGAGUAAUUCAAGUCCCAGAUAAACUCAUACUUCCUACACAAAGUCUUUCCCAAUUCCUCCCUAGUUCUAAUGGUUUUCCUCUGUUAUUUUUUUCCCUAAUUUAUCCCAUAUAUAAUUUGUGCAGAGUUGUUUGUGUGCCAUCUCCCCCAUUAGACUUCAAGCUCCUUGUGGACAAGAACUGUCUUUUACCUUUCUUUGUAUCUCAAGUGUUUUAGCACAGUGCCUGACACAUAGUAGGCCAUUAAUAAAUGUUUACUUGAUUAACA
rnacentral:lncRNA from 1 species